AUCAAGACCGUUCUCGCAAUGUCCGAACAGUUGGUUUGUUGUGCGACCUGGGGCUCUGGGAAGAACUCAGCCCUGGGAUGACUGGCUAGCCGGCCUUGCCCCAACACCAAAACAGGUUCGUAACAA